UGUUGUGGCUGAUGCAAAUCUUUGAGGGAAUCCAUCUUUGUGGUUGAAUGUAACUAUAUCAUUAUAUACUUGUCACAUAAAUGUCAGGGUAUUCUUUUAAAAUUUUGAUUUCUUCAUGGUGAAUUAUUGAAACUGAUGUCAAAGUCAUAUCCUUCUGCUUUGUUUCCUCUUCUACCUUUUGUUUUGGUUCUAAUUUUAUUCAAAGUGAUUCUACUUCCAUAUCACAUUACUCCUCCAUUCCCCCCCUCCCAAA